rnacentral:rRNA from 1 species
GGGCCCGCACAAGCGGUGGAGUAUGUGGUUUAAUUCGAUGCAACGCGAAGAACCUUACCAGGGUUUGACAUCCUGCGAAUCUCUUGGAAACAGGAGAGUGCCUUCGGGAACGCAGUGACAGGUGGUGCAUGGCUGUCGUCAGCUCGUGUCGUGAGAUGUUGGGUUAAGUCCCGCAACGAGCGCAACCCACGUCUUUAGUUGCCAGCAUUUAGUUGGGCACUCUAGAGAGACCGCCGGUGACAAACCGGAGGAAGUGUGGAUGACGUCAAGUCAUCAUGCCCCUUACGUCCUGGGGCUACACACGUGCUACAAUGGCCGGGACAAAGAGAUGCAAUCUCGCGAGAGCAAGCUAACCUCAAAAACCCGGUCUUAG